UGGCUCAGAUGGUAAAGCACCCACCUGCAAUGCGGGAGACCAGGGUUCGAUCCCUG
rnacentral:tRNA from 1 species